rnacentral:lncRNA from 1 species
AUUCCAUUUUUAAGAUUUGUUUUAUUAGUUUAUUUUUUAUAUUAAUUUUCAGAUAUUUUAAUAAUGGAAUUUAUAUGUUUUGAUGUAUUAUUUUUAAAUAUAUUUUUAACGUAUAAAUGGGAGAGUGAGAGUUGCAGAGAGCGUUUGGAGGAGGAGCGUUUCAAAAGCUUUGGUGGGGGUGGGGNUGGGAAUACGAAGGAGAGGAAUUUGAGUCUGUGUGUUUUGACUGAGACAGACUGUAAAAGAGUAGGUUAACUUUAGUAAAUAGGUGUAAAACGGUAAAAAUAAAAAAAACAUAAAGAUUAAUUUUGUAUUUAAAAAAAAAUCCAAAAAAAUUGGGAGGG